rnacentral:tRNA from 1 species
UAGCUCAGUGGCAGAGCACUUGCAUGGUAAGCAAGUGUCCUGGGUUCAAUCCCUG